CCUACGGGUGGCUGCAGUGGGGAAUAUUGGACAAUGGGGGGAACCCUGAUCCAGCCAUGCCGCGUGUGUGAAGAAGGCCCUCGGGUUGUAAAGCACUUUCAGUGAGGAAGAACGCCUGGUGGUUAAUACCCAUCAGGAAAGACAUCACUCACAGAAGAAGCACCGGCUAACUCCGUGCCAGCAGCCGCGGGAAUACGGAGGGUGCGAGCGUUAAUCGGAAUUACUGGGCGUAAAGCGCGCGUAGGUGGCUUGAUAAGCCGGUUGUGAAAGCCCCGGGCUCAACCUGGGAACGGCAUCCGGAACUGUCAAGCUAGAGUGCAGGAGAGGAAGGUAGAAUUCCCGGUGUAGCGGUGAAAUGCGUAGAGAUCGGGAGGAAUACCAGUGGCGAAGGCGGCCUUCUGGACUGACACUGACACUGAGGUGCGAAAGCGUGGGUAGCAAACAGGAUUAGAUACCCCAGUAGUC
rnacentral:rRNA from 1 species